rnacentral:rRNA from 14 species
GAGGCAAUAACAGGUCUGUGAUCCCCUUAGAUGUUUUGGGCCGCACGCGCGCUACACUGACAGAGCCAACGAGUUAUUCACCUUGGCCGGAAGGUCUGGGUAAUCUUGUUAAACUCUGUCGUGCUGGGGAUAGAGCAUUGCAAUUAUUGCUCUUCAACGAGGAAUGCCUAGUAAGCGCGUGUCAUCAGCAUGCGUUGAUUACGUCCCUGCCCUUU